rnacentral:rRNA from 1 species
UACGGAGGGUGCAAGCGUUGUCCGGAAUCACUGGGUGUAAAGGGUGUGUAGGCGGAACGAUCAGUCGGAGGUGAAAGCCCGCAGCUUAACUGCGGAAAUGCCCCCGAUACUGUCGAUCUUGAGUCCCGGAGGGGUGGCUGGAAUUCGUGGUGUAGCGGUGAAAUGCGUAGAUAUCACGAGGAACACCUAAGGCGUAGGCAGGUCACUGGACGGGUACUGACGCUGAGGCACGAAAGUGUGGGGAGCAAACAGG